rnacentral:lncRNA from 1 species
UCCAGGCUGUACUUUAUUUUACACAAGUGGUGGCCCCAGAGCCACAGGGACAUUCUGGAGAGCAGGCACAGUGCCUGAGGCUGCAAGAGCCGGAUACAGGGGUUCAUGCCUUCUCNNNNNNNNNNNNNNAAAAAAAAAAAAAAAAAAAAAAAAAAAAAAAAAACAAACCACACAGCACACAUCACCACACCCAUCCCCUCUUCCCUUUCAGUAACAGCCAAUUCAGCUUUCUAGCCAAAGACAGUGGCUACAACUGAAUUCACAGAGAACCAUGCAGCCAAGAAACCAGAGCCAUGGAAGGGAGAGACUUGUGUUGACUUGCCACACGCGCUGUCCCAUAGCAGCUAAGUGACUCCACCAAGCCACUGUGUGGUUGGACACUGACAGGACAGCCGAUAAGACAAGCUAUGCAGGUGAAACUCCAAGGCACCCCCUUCACGGUGCCGGCCAAACCCACGCACAGGUGACCUGUGGGGAGCCUGUCUGGACUCAGCUGUUGAAUCCAAAGCAAGCCAGGCGUGAGGUU